UACGGAGGGUGCAAGCGUUAUCCGGAUUUAUUGGGUUUAAAGGGUCCGUAGGCGGAUCUGUAAGUCAGUGGUGAAAUCUCACAGCUUAACUGUGAAACUGCCAUUGAUACUGCGGGUCUUGAGUGUUAUUGAAGUAGCUGGAAUAAGUAGUGUAGCGGUGAAAUGCAUAGAUAUUACUUAGAACACCAAUUGCGAAGGCAGGUUACUAAGCAACAACUGACGCUGAUGGACGAAAGCGUGGGGAGCGAACAGG
rnacentral:rRNA from 1 species